GGGGAAUUUUGGACAACGGGCGCAAGCCUGAUCCAGCCAUGCCGCGUGUCUGAAGAAGGCCUUCGGGUUGUAAAGGACUUUUGUCAGGGAAGAAAAGGCUGUUGCUAAUACCGACAGCUGAUGACGGUACCUGAAGAAUAAGCACCGGCUAACUACGUGCCAGCAGCCGCGGUAAUACGUAGGGUGCGAGCGUUAAUCGGAAUUACUGGGCGUAAAGCGAGCGCAGACGGUUACUUAAGCAGGAUGUGAAAUCCCCGGGCUCAACCCGGGAACUGCGUUCUGAACUGGGUGACUCGAGUGUGUCAGAGGGAGGUAGAAUUCCACGUGUAGCAGUGAAAUGCGUAGAGAUGUGGAGGAAUACCGAUGGCGAAGGCAGCCUCCUGGGACAACACUGACGUUCAUGCCCGAAAGCGUGGGUAGCAAACAGGAUUAGAUACCCUGGUAGUCCACGCCCUAAACGAUGUCAAUUAGCUGUUGGGCAACCUGAUUGCUUGGUAGCGUAGCUAACGCGUGAAAUUGACCGCCUGGGGAGUACGGUCGCAAGAUUA
rnacentral:rRNA from 1 species